UGUCAAGUUUGACCUGGGCCUUUUGCGAUUGGAUGGGUCUUCCAAGGUAAGCUCCUAGAACGAGCAUGUUAAUUUCUUAGAAGCUUGGACCUAAAAGCUCUGCCUUCAGGUUUCUGUUCCCCUUUUGGUAAGGUUACUGGUGUGUGUUAGGGCAUGAGAUACAAGAUGGAAGUCGGGGGGAGCUGGGGAUGAAGGUGCAUUCUCUCUGUCCUUCUUAGCCUCCCUUUUCUCUGUUGGCACAUCUGCUUCCUUCUCCUUACAGAAGGCUGGCCAUUCCUAAGAAGGCUUUGGAAUACACCUGAUUCCACACUCUCAGCUCUGGGUCCCGCCCUAAACAUUCUUGAUUGGCGAGAAACUCUGCCAUCUUGUUCCCAGAGAAGACAGCUGAUUGGUUUGCCUGGAUGACGUGUGUACCUUUUGUCCAAUCAGCACUGGCUAGGGAUGGGUCUUUAUGACCAGCUGCUGCCUAAGCAGAUUUUCUGAAAGAAUGGGAUUCCACAGAGAUUGGGAGAUGGGCACUGCUCUAUGGGGAGGAGGGAAACUGGUACCCAAGAGUCAUGUCUGCCACUUAAGGAUAUAGGAAUGAGUAGAAACAGGGCAUGAAACGGCCUCCGAGCCUUGAGAGUAGAUUGUAACCUUGGACGCAGCUGCAGGACUUUGACAGCUGUUGAUGGCUUGCACCAGAGCAGUUCAACCGGAACCUCGAAUUCUGGUGGGGCUCAGGCAUCAGUAUUCUUUUAAAAAAUCAUUCCCAGCGAUUCUAAUGCACAACCAGGAUUGAAAACUCUUAGGGGACAUGUCCAGGGACACAGUUGUCUAUGAAAACCCACAAGUGAAGAGGCCACUGGUGAAUUUCCCAUCCUUGGUGGUUGUAUCUUACACUUUGGCAUUUUUCAGACCCAGUUUAACAUGAAAAGAGAUGAGGAGUUCCCGUGGUGGCUCAGCGGUAACAAACCCAACUAGUGUCCAUGAGGACGCAGGCUCCAUCCCUGGCCUGGCUCAGUGGGUUAAGGAUCUGGCAUUGCUGUGGGCUAUGGUGUAGGUCACAGACGCUGCUCGGAUCUCUCAUUGCUGUGGCUGUGGCGUAGGCCGGUAGCUGCAUCUCUGGGUUGACCCCUGCCUGGGAACCUCCAUAUGCCGCGGGAGCGGCCCAAGAAAUAGCAACAACAACAACAACAGCAAAAGACAAAAAACAAAAAACAAAAAACAAACAAAAAAAAAAAGAAAUAGUUAUCAAGUGCUUAUUCUAAGUCAGGACCUGGUCUGUGCGACAUCCCCCCUGCCCCAGAGAUUUCUUGGUCCGUGAAGGAGGUGGAGUAAUUAUCUGCAUAUGGUGCUGCGUUUAUGAGAAGCCAGAGGCCACUGGGCACCUAGCGGAGCCUGGUGGGUCAGGCCUGGCCCCUGCAGAGCAGGCAUCUAGGCUGAAACCUAGAGCUGUGUGCAGGGAGGCGGCGCGGAGGUCUGGGGUUGAGGGGCUGCUCACGCCCAGGCCCGUCCCGCUUGCUGGUCAGCAGAUCCAUCCUGGGCCUGAGCCCUUGAAGUCCCUUCCUGCCUCUCAGCCCGCUCCUGUUGAAAUCCCCGUGAGAGCUGGUGAUGCCCACCUACGCAUCUGCCAGGAGCGUGGCGCUCCUACCGCCCUGGGGCUGCCCUCCUUGAAACAGGAUGGAGCUGAGACCGGGCUCCUGCCCUUGGUGGGGGGCACAGCUGGGAUAGGAGAGCCGAGUUGUGAAUGAACAUCAUGUUAGGAUGUGUCGCCUUUGGUCCCCCCAACCCCCGGCCCCGCCCCGACAGCCCUGGCAGGAGGCUCUUACCGCAGCGGCUCACACGUUACAGAUAAGGAAACUCAGGCGCAGCUGAAGUCACCUGCCCCAGCAAAGGCCUGGGCCUGUGACAGCCAAGGUUGUACCCAGGUCUCCCCCGGCCUUGGCGCCCAUGAACAGGGUCACGUGGUGGUAAAAGAGACAGACAGCUUCAGGGCUCCCGAGGGGCCUGGCUCAGACCCGUCCUGGCCUCUAGGCCCAUGGAGGUAAGACGUCUCAGAGCCCCUCUCGGACCUGGACACUUUGCCCAGGGGGAGCCUCCAGGGAAGGUGGAGAAAGAGGCCCCACCAUGAGCCCCGUGCCCUCCUGAUUGAGGGACCCACCCUGCCAGGCUGCUGGGCCUCCGGCCUUUAUCCGACCCCACCCCCGGCACCUCCAGCCUUUCCCCUCGGGCCCCGCUGGCCGGCCUUGGCCUGUCUCUGGCCUCGGCCCGGGCGCCAGGCCUGCUCCUGGAACCUGGCCAAACCCCACCCCACAUGCGGCCUCUGCCCUGGUCAUGAGGGCAGGCCGGGAGCUCACAGGCCAGGCUUGCGCUGGGAUGGGUGCUCCCGGGGAUUGGCUCAGCCUGUAGGUGUGAGAGGCCUGCCUGCAAGUUUGAAAGGGUGAAGACACGGCCUGAAUCUUCCAAGGCAGAGUUCGGGAAAGGGCCUGUCCUGCUGCAGCUUUCCCAGGCCACUGGCUUCUGUACGCAUGCACGCGCGUGUGCACACACACACCCCCCCACACCCUAAAUAGCACCUUCUUUUCACACCUUGUUCCUGUCUUCCAGAGCCUGUGUCAAACCACCUCUCCUCAUCCUCUUUCAUCCUCACUUUUUCCAAAAGUUCUCAUGAAAGGAAGACCCGCCCCCGCCCCCUGCCACAUCCCCAUUUUUCAGACACAUACACUGAAGCCCAGAAAAAUAAAGCAACUUUGCUCAAAGUCUCAGGCAGCUGGUGUCAGAGUCUGAUGAAAUCCAGCUUUGUCUGACUCCACGGCCCACGCUUCUGGCCACUGAGGAGCUUUGUGACUUUGUGACACGUCUCAGCCUCCGUUUCCUCAACUAUAAAACGGAUAACAAAAAUGCCCAGUUGGUGAGGUUGGAGAGUGACUGACAGGAGGCAGGGAGCGUGCUCAGAAGAGCGCCUGGCCCAGGGGCCUCUCUAGUAAGGGGUAGACACCCCUUGUGUGCAUGUCACAGUCGUGGGCCCUGGAUGAGCCCUUUCCUGCUUGGGGGCACCGCCGUCAGUCGGCUUCCCAGCUGUUGCCCCCGCAUCUUUUGUCCCAGACUCUGUGUCCUCUUUCUUGCCUUCCCUCCACGGAUGGCUUUGUUUCCCUUCUGUUUUUAUUGCUUUUGUUUCCGCACGGUAAACCCUACAAGCCCCGGAGGUUUCUGGGCUGAUGGUUAUCAUUGCUGCAGGGGACAUGCCAGGCCACGAGAGCGGUGUCUUGGCAUCAGUUUUUCCCCCUGAAGCUUGUGCAUACAUUUACCCCAGCUAAUUUAAUAGCAUCCCCUGGACUGGCUUCUUGGGCAGCAAGACGGACUAUCCCAAGCGUGGCGCUCGUCUCUCCUCAAGUAAAAUGAAGGAAGUGUUUUGCCGCGAGAACCUGGGUUUCCCUGUCCAUUUACCGCUUAGAAGCUGUGUGACUCUGGACAACUUACUGAACAUCUCUGAGCUGCAUUGCCUUUUGGAAUGGGGACUGCAGGAGGAGAGGUACAGAAUCCGGUUCUCAGGGUUUUGAAGAGAGUUCAGUGACAGACCAGCAGGCAAUGCCUGGCAUUGUAGGUGCUCAAUAAAAUACUAAACCAGGGUCCAGUUGAACAGGUUCAACAGUUCAGCUAGGUGGGGGAACAGAAAAGGAAACAAAGCAAAGCCUUUCUUGGAUAAAUCCACCAGGAAGGACAGGGCCGGGGGCCAGGAGCUGAGGACCCAGCGCCACACUGCGUCCCAAGCCAGGCAGGCCCUUGGGAGACGGAAGAGGUUGAAGCCUGGGCAGCCGACCUCUCUACUUCCUGGUGCAACCCGCAGCUUUCCUUGAAGGCAGGGCCCAGCUUCCUUAUCGGUGGGCUCAGAGUCCACGGCUCCAGGGCCGGACGCCUGUGUGUGGGAGGCUGUGAGUGCUUAUCAGGCCUCUCCCUGGGUCAGACACCCAGACUUUGGCCGUGGUUGGGCUUGAACGUGGCAGCUGCUCCUUCCCCAGGGGGGAUACCCCAGUACAUUCCUCAACAUCCCUUCCCAGUUAAAAAACAGAAACCAAAAAAACAACCAAAAAAAAAAAAA
rnacentral:lncRNA from 1 species